GUGAAUCAUCGAAUCUUUGAACGCAAAUUGCACUCUCCGGUUUUCCGGGGGAGUAUGCCUGUCUGGGAGUCAUCCUAAAUAAAAUCGGCUUAGUAUUUUUCUGUUUGUUUCACGGUAACGUUGAUCGCAAUUUUGUUCUUCUUAAACCGAAAGGUUUUUAAGCGACUUAAAAUUUUCUUACGAUCUCUCGAACGUUUUUAACAUUUUCUUUCACGUUCAAUAUAUCGAUAUUAGAC
rnacentral:misc_RNA from 1 species